CCGAAAUCUCUCGCACAGUUGUCUUGUUUGUUGCGUAACUGAAAAUGUUGGCUUAGUUGAGUAAUAUUUGGAAGAACUGUAGUUGAUAACUUCAAUGCAAAUGGAGGUUGGAAAUGAUGCUCGAAAUUUAAGUAUCGCUUCUGGAGAAGAAGAGGAAGAACUUCUCUUUACAAUCACAAACUCGACGAAAUCAUUGGAAGGCUCAUCCGGCUCAGCCAUGUUGCAUUUGAUUGAGAACAGUGAUAAUGAACGGAGUCGUCUACACUUUUGCCAAAAAGGCCGUCCACGUGCUUCAGACGUCCCAGUGACAUGCGCUCCUUGUGAAAUUGGGGUUAGCAUGCUAAUUUAGCUGGUGCGUCAUGCUCAAACAUAGGCAGUCAAAAUGAGCUCAUGU